GUCUCUUUUGUGGUGGUCCUUUUGUGUUUGAUGCCUGCCUAAAGCUGUCAUAGAAACUGGAUGUAAUGCUUCCUCAUCAUACGGCAGCCCUCCAACACCUAAAUUAAGAAGUGAAUAGUGCAGGGGUUAAUUAUGAACCUGGAAAAGCUGUGUAGCACUUCUUGGGAAGGCAUCAGCCCGUGAGGGACCUGCGCGGGGUGCAGCAGUGAGAUGCCUCAGCAGGAGCCAGCAAAGUGUUCACCCUGGAUGUUCAACCAGCUUCACGGCUGCUUUGGAAGAGUCACAACCGAGCUGUCUCGGCGUCAGUUCUGAAAGCAGUAAGCACACAAGGUUACUGCCUGGUGUUUCCUUUCAUAGCUGAGACAUACCUCCGGUAUGGCCGUUAAGGAGACUGCCUGCAAGACAACUCCAUCCAGGAAUGACAUGCAGUUCCUUGGUGUGUUUUCCUUGGCUGCAGCCCGUGUCUCUCUUCAUCCCCUGAUUCCAGACAGCAGCACCUCCUGCAGCCACUGCCUUCUACAGAACUUCCAUUCCGCAGAGCUGAGGGAAAGGCUUUGGAGCAUCGCCUGCUGCCUUCACAGAGGCAUUUUAAGAGUUUUUGUUCUGAGCUGUACAGCAAGCAGAAAAGUAAUAUACAUAAUAAAGUAAAGAAAUAUUAUGUACUUGAAUUUUUAAUUAAGUUCUAUUUACGAUGUUGUCGUCCAUUUUGAAACAUUAAGAAUAGCUCUACCUUCAAUGCAGGAAGGAUUUCCCUUAUCUACGUAUUUCACAAUAAAAAAGGAAAAGGAAUGUGGCUAUUUUUACAUUGUAAGUGCCUUUAUGUCAAAUAUAAGCUAGAUUUUAUUUUUUAAUGAAACUUAAUUUAGCCUAGUUAAGAAACCAAUAACCAUAUUUCCUAAUUCAGUUUAUUAAAGUAAUAAACACAGCUAUUCCAGGAAAUGAAAAUAUUUCUGUAUAUGAAAUAGAGUUCUCUGCAGAAGAUAUUCAAGUGUGGAUCUCUGAUGUUUAGCAGUAAAAAUGUAUAUUGGGUAUAAAAUGGGCUUCUCUCUAUCCAUGUGUUCUGGGCGUCAUCCGGUCUGAGGGAUGUCUGUGCAUAAUGCGGAUUCUCAGCACUCCUGAGAACUUGAUUUGUUUGGAUGUUUAAGUUGAAUUUAGAUGUCUAAUUUUAAGCAGCAAGAUAAUCACGUGCUUGUACCUUGUUUCUGAAUAUGAAGAUAGCUUCAGCUGCAUUAAGGAGCCUGAAAUGACAGGGCUGGAAUUGAUAUUUAAUAAUACACCAAGCUAUAAGAAUGCUGAAAUACAACACAGUUAUUAAGAGAUGCCAUUAGUCAAAGGCAGCAGUGUUUGUUUUUUAUUGCUGAGUGCCUGAAGUUUCAAUUUAAAACAAGUGAAAAAUACAAAAACAGAUCCAUUGCCAUCAGACUGAUGUGGGAGUAGCGGGGUUGGUUCUGGGCAGGCUCACAUUGUUUUAUGCUGAAUGUUUUGCUGCUUUUGUCUCUGGAGAAGUGCAGCCAGGUUUUGCCUGCUCUGGGGUCCCGGAGCUGCACUGCAGGAGGGCUCCAUGCUGGCCCAGCAGAUGGGUGCACUGCCUGACACAAGGGGAAGUUCUCCAUUUACUCCACAAAGAUCUUAGGUGAAGGACUGUAAUUGAGCACAACCUUUUUGCACCUAUGAAGAUGCUUGUUUAGAAACAUAGGAAGCUUUAACAACCCUUCUCGUACAUCAAUGCACAAAUAAAGAGAUGAAUC
rnacentral:lncRNA from 1 species